rnacentral:rRNA from 1 species
GGGUGCGAUCAUACCAGUGUUAAUGCACCGGAUCCCAUCGGAACUCCGUAGUUAAGUGCGCUUGGGAUAGAGUAGUAUUGGGAUGGGUGACCUCCCUGGAAGUCUUAGUGCUUCACCCU